ACUUUGUAAGAGGUUGCAAAUCGCCAGAAAACCAAAGAAGAAGCAGCAGCAGCUCGGUGAUGAUGCAGUAGUGGACAGCUGUGCAGAACGUCAGAGGAGACAGUAGACACCUGCACUUCCAGUAUGAGUGAGUUAACAGACUUUGACAGAGGCCAGAUUGUUGGUGCCCAAGUUGCAGGUCUGACAAUGAAAAAAACUGCUGAGUUGUGCGGUGUAUCGACUCAAACUGUCCGCAAGGUCAUGAGUGACUUUAACAAACACGGAUACCCUUCACUAGCGAAGCAGAGCAGUGUGCACAAGCCACAGGCGAAAAGGAUAAGACUCACAAAAUCUGCUGCGAACAGACAAGCUGCCAGCGGGAAACCAGAGCCGGAAUCUGAGGUCGACUCACAAACUCCUGAUGAAGAGAGCAAGAGACCUGAAGCUAAGACCGAAGACGAGGAGGAACUUUAGUUUGAUGUGUUGUUGUGAUUCAGACCUUCCACUACAUAUGGACUAAUUAAUGUUUGCAUAAAACCACAGCCUUCAUUCAACCCACAGUUUUGCCCACUUUGGGCACUUUUAUUUAAGGUACAUAUCAAGGCUUUUUUUUUGUGUGUGUUUUGUAAGAAUCAGUAACUUUAGUUCAAGUUGAACUGUGGCUUCUGUCUGUGUUUAGAGCAUUUGAAAUGUUUUUGUUCAACUUAUUGAUGAGCAGGAAAACACAUUUAGAGAAAACCCCCCAAAGUGGUGGUAGAUUUCUUUUUAGUGCAAAGUAAACCAUCAUCAUAACAGCUGUACAUGCAACUAAACCUAAUUAAAACUGUCAUAUAACGGGGACUUUAAGCUUUAAGUAAGUCUUGCUACAUGCAUAUUUACAAGAAAGACCAUGAGAAAGGUAGACCAGUAGUAGUGAGUAUAUAUGUAUUGUAUGAUACAAAAGGCUACAUGGGGGAAAAUGCAUGGAAGAAGGUAGAAACAAAAUCCAGAAGUUAUUAGCUAGACUAUAUAUGAUGAGGUGGACGGUAAUUCAUAGCUGUUUUGUGUGUUGUGGAGCCGAGGCACGUUUAAACAAAAUUCCUGGGAAUACAGUAGAUUAUAAGGGAAAUGGCUUUUGCUGGGUAAUCAAGGCUAAAUGAGAGGAAUACAUGCUGGAAAACAAAGGUUUUAACUCUCCUACCCCUAAUAUUAUAACACCUGGUUAUUCUGGAGACCUGAAAUAAAAAUAAUACAUAAUCUUAUCAUA